AACGAACGCUGGCAGCAGGCCUAACACAUGCAAGUCGAGCGCCCUUUCGGGGGAGCGGCGGACGGGUGAGUAACGCGUGGGAAUAUGCCCUUCUCUACGGAAUAGCCUCGGGAAACUGAGAGUAAUACCGUAUACGCCCUGUGGGGGAAAGAUUUAUCGGGGAAGGAUUAGCCCGCGUUGGAUUAGGUAGUUGGUGGGGUAAUGGCCUACCAAGCCGACGAUCCAUAGCUGGUUUGAGAGGAUGAUCAGCCACACUGGGACUGAGACACGGCCCAGACUCCUACGGGAGGCAGCAGUGGGGAAUCUUAGACAAUGGGGGCAACCCUGAUCUAGCCAUGCCGCGUGAGUGAUGAAGGCCUUAGGGUUGUAAAGCUCUUUCAGCUGGGAAGAUAAUGACGGUACCAGCAGAAGAAGCCCCGGCUAACUCCGUG
rnacentral:rRNA from 1 species